UACGUAGGGUGCAAGCGUUGUCCGGAAUUAUUGGGCGUAAAGAGCUCGUAGGCGGUCUGUCGCGUCUGCUGUGAAAACUCGGGCGUACCCGGCUCGCAGUGGGUGACGGGCAGACUAGAGUGCGGUAGGGGGAGACUGGAAUUCCUGGUGUAGCGGUGAAAUGCGCAGAUAUCAGGAGGAACACCGGUGGCGAAGGCGGCAUCCUGGACCGAUACUGACGCUGAGGCGCGAAAGCGUGGGGGAGCGAACAGG
rnacentral:rRNA from 1 species